rnacentral:lncRNA from 1 species
AUUUUUCCAAUCCAACUAAAACCUAUUUUUUUUUGAAUUUUUCUUUUCAAGAAAGCAUUGAAUAAAAACAAAAUGACUACAACAUAUUUUUGAUGUUUUCCUUUUCUUUUUUCUAAAAACUCUACGCUAAUUUUAAACUUAAAAGCUAAAACUAAAAAUUAAAACUAAAAGUAAACAACGAAUGCAAGCAAUCUAAAAUGAAAAUCAUGAAAUAGAUGCCACAUAAAAUUAUUCAAAAUUUGGUGUCUACAUCCACCCCUCGAUUUGAAUAAAUGUUGUUUUUAAUUUGUUAAAGAGGGUUAAAAUGCACGUUUUGAUCUUUUUACAUGUGCGUGCAUUGAAUAUUUUGGCAAAAGAAUGAUCUAAGAUACAUUUUGAGUAAUUGGGAUAAAAGAAUAAUUUUUGAAAAAUUAAGAAAUUUCUGCAGAAAAAUUGCAGAAGAAAACACGAGCUCAGAAAAAUGCAACUUCAAGUCGCGUUUUCAUGAGUCGUGUAUUCAUUGCUGCGAACAUAAAGAAGAAAAACACGGGUAUCAAAAUGCGCUUUCUACAGUCGCGUUUUAGGGUUCUUUUUAAAGAUAAAUGUAGGUUUCUUGGUUCCUUGUUCAUUCUCCUCUUUUCCUCAUGUAUUUACUUGUACCUUGGGUAGUUUCUUGUAUAUUUUCUAUAGGUAUGUCACCACGACAAAGGCUAGAAGUUACGGAUCGCCGUUUUAUGUUUGAUAAUGCCUUUGUUAUUACCUUUGUUUCUCAUUUUCCAUUCUUAGGUUUAUAUCACUAAUGGAUACAAAUGGAACUAAUGAAGUUGUGGAGAUAAACGGACAAUGGCUAGUGAACUUCAUGCUUUGACGCAUCUCAAUCGCUACAUAGGGGAGUAUUACUUUAUCUUGAGUUUCUCUUUUUACACAUUGAGGACAAUGUGUAUGUUAAGUGUGGGGGGAGAAUUGAGAUUAUAUACAUUGUAUGUGAUUGACUUGUUGGUUGUAAAAUUGCAAAAAUGCCUCAAAAGUUUUAAAUUUUUUCAAUUUUAUUCAAGGGGUAACAAGUUCCAUACCAUUAGUAAUUCAAAUUCCUUCUACCUUAUGAAGUAAAUAUAUGUGGUUUGAAAAUUUUUUUUCUCAUUUAACUUGGAAAUGACUAUUAUGUUAUUAUAAUUUGUGCAUUUAUAAAAAAGUAUAUCUUGUAAAGUGGAGAAAAUUAUGCCUAUAUUUUACAAAUUUGAUGAAAUUCCUUCUCUUUAUUUGAUUUUAUAAGUUAAGUAAUAAAUAUGCUCCAUAAGUGCAAUACUCUUCUCAUGAUUAUGCUUUUGAGGGAAUGUUUAUUAUCUUUACUCUAAAAAAAGUAGAACAAAAAGAACAAAAAGGAAAAAAAUGAAAAAAAAAUGAAAAAAGAAAAAAAAGAAAAAAGAGAAUAAGAGUCGUUCUACUCCAAUGGUUCUUGUACUUAGUAAUCGGGAGUGCUCAUCUACAAAUAUCGACUUUUGCGUAAACCGGUACUCUAAUUAAGAGUAUGCAAAAUGACUUGAGUAUGUGAGGUGUUUAGUAACCGGUGAUUUUCAUCUAAAAAUAUCGAUUCUCGCGUCAAAAAGUACUUUCACAACUUCAGUAUAUAUUUAGCUAUAUUAUAUGAAUAAAUCCCUCUUUAAAUUUAAAUAAGAAGAUGAUCAUGAGUUUAGGAAGCAUUUUAUUGACCAUAUGACUUAUUUGCCUGUGAAAUUAGGUAAGGAUGAGUAAUUGCCUUGAACUAGUUAAAAUUAUGGUAUAAUUGACUAUCGUUUACUUGAUAUUAUGAGUACGUGAGGUUAAUGGAGUGAUUGCAUAAUAGUUAUUUACCUUGUUUUUAAGGAUAUGAAGUUGAUGGUGCACAUAUGUUUAUUUUCAAAAAUUUUGGAUCAUUAUUGGUUUGUAUUUCUUAUUGCUUGAGGACAAGCAAUGGUUCAAGUGUGGGAGUAAGUGACAAGAAUAUAUUUUACGUGUUUUUAGUGUGUUUUAUUAUUUAGUUUUGGUGUGUUUUAAUUAGUUUUAUAGCUAAUUAACUAGGAAUCUAAUGAAAAUAUGCAUUUUGUGGUUUAAGUGUGAACAAUUGCAUUUCUAUGCAUUUUUAUGGUGAAAACUUCAUGUUUUUAU